rnacentral:misc_RNA from 1 species
UCUCCGUAGGUGAACCUGCGGAGGGAUCAUUACAGAGUUCAUGCCCUACCCGGUAGAUCUCCCACCCUAUGUUAUUAUUACUUUGUUGCUUUGGCGGGCCGUUAGGCUCCGGCCCGACUACCGGCCCCGGCUGGUAAGCGCCCGCCAGAGGACCCAAAACCCUGAAUAUUAGUGUCGUCUGAGUACUAUAUAAUAGUUAAAACUUUCAACAACGGAUCUCUUGGUUCUG